rnacentral:rRNA from 1 species
UACAGAGGUCCCAAGCGUUGUUCGGAUUCAUUGGGCGUAAAGGGUGCGUAGGUGGCGUCGUAAGUCGGGGUGUGAAAUCGUCCGGGGCUUAACCGAGGAACUGCACUCGAAACUACUUGUCUUGAGUGUCGGAGAGGAAAGCGGAAUUCCUGGUGGUAGAGGUGAAAUUCGUAGAUAUCAGGAGGAACACCGAUGGCGAAGGCAGCUGCGGCUGGGACGGUACUGCGCUGAGGCGCGAA